GUUAUCAAAUGCCUCUCACCCAAUUACCAGAUGCCCUGAUGUUCUCUGGCUCCAAGAAUUGAAAGAACAAGGUCAGGUACAAGCAUUGUACUUGGGCUGGAAUUUUUAUAGCCCAUGAUCAGUUGGAAGAGGUAUGCAGCCCGGCCAAGCCUCAGAGCCUGCAGUUCGGGAACACACUGCUGCUCGCAGAGCCUGCCCACAGCUGCCUGAGGAGAUCUCUUUCAGCCCCGCCACUCUGUGGAUGGUUGGUCAUUCUGUCCUUGGCUAGAAUGUCCCCCUGGGCCCAAGACACUGCACGGAUUUUAUGAGAUUUCUCUGCUUCAAGCGAUUUCUGCUAUCAGCUGCUCGCACGCCCCUCCACACACCAGUUCCCUCCCUGAACAUCCCACCUGAUUCUGCCUGGGAAACAGAUAUCAUCUGACCAUGAGGAAGACGCAAGUGUCUAGCAUGGUGCCUGGAACACAGGAGGAGCUCAUCAACUAUCUGAAUGGUUUUCAAUGUUACCUGGAAGAGGCAGAAGGAACACCUGCCACAAGAAAACAGGACAGCAGAUCCACAGGUUGGAUCAUCACUUCCCUUCCACCAUCCUGCAAAGACGUGAGAGGAUCCCUGUGAAUCCUACCUGAGUGGAGCCCAAUGCAUGAUGACAUGACAAGAGCCAGCAAAGACACCUAACCUGCAGCCAUCAGCUGUCUUUGCAGCUUUGGAGCCACAAGGAUAAUGAGGAGCUUCACAC